CAGCAGCCGCGGUAAAACGUAGGGGGCAAGCGUUGUCCGGAAUUAUUGGGCGUAAAGGGCUCGCGGGCGGUUUCUUAAGUCUGAUGUGAAAGCCCCCGGCUCAACCGGGGAGGGUCAUUGGAAACUGGGAAACUUGAGUGCAGAAGAGGAGAGUGGAAUUCCACGUGUAGCGGUGAAAUGCGUAGAGAUGUGGAGGAACACCAGUGGCGAAGGCGACUCUCUGGUCUGUAACUGACGCUGAGGAGCGAAAGCGUGGGGAGCGAACAGGAUUAGAUACCCGUGUAGUCCCUGUCUCUUAUAC
rnacentral:rRNA from 1 species